GGAAGAAAAGGAGACUCUGUGAAGAGAAAGUAGUUUUCUGAUUGCAGACCUUUGCUGAAGAGAAAAUGCAGCCUGUAUCUCGUGUUCCUUUCAUGGAUUAUAGUUUCUGUUAUUUUGUUCUGCGCCUCACUUGAAUUUGCGCAACAGAAUCAUCGGAGCGCAUCUGACGCACAACAGCGGACCUAGAAGAGAAAUUAGCUCCUGAUGUCUUUAAAACUCGCGGAGGGGAACAAAAUGUGUCAGUCUUAGUGGGAAAGAUCUGUCUGGGACGGGUUACAUGGUUUUGGAGAGUUUUACGCGUUUUGGAGAGUUUAACCUCUGGGCUGAGAUGGGUGAUGGAUGCUGAAAUUUUAUUCAUCAACAGAGGAUAAUAAGAUUCAUGAUUUUUACCCAAGUGCACUUGUUUUUCCGGCGAUGAUUGUGCUUUUGAUAAUCCUGUGCAUUACGGAUGGGGUGCUCUCUCAGAUACGCUACUCUGUCCCGGAGGAGGCGGACCAUGGCACCUUGGUGGGUAAUAUCGCCGAAGACCUCGGGCUGGACCUCACCAAGCUGGCCUCCCGCCGCUUUCAAGUCGUGCCAAGCUCUCGGACGCCGUACCUGGAGGUAAACCUGGAGAAUGGCGUCCUGUUCGUUAAUGAGAAAAUCGAUCGUGAGCAGAUCUGCAAGCAGAGCGCGAGCUGCCAGCUCAAUAUGGAAGUGUUCUUGGAGAACCCACUGGAGUUGUUUCGGGUCGAAAUCGAAGUAGUGGACAUUAAUGACAACCCUCCCAGCUUUCCGGAGACAGACAUCACGGUGGAGAUCUCAGAAAGCGCCACUCCUGGCACCCGCUUCCCCUUGGAGAGCGCUUUCGACCCGGAUGUGGGUUCCAACGCUUUACGCACGUAUGAUAUCACCACCAACAACUACUUUUACCUGGACGUACAGACCCAGACGGACGGGAACAAGUUCGCGGAACUUGUCCUGGAGAAGCCGCUGGACAGGGAGCAGCAGGCGGCGCACAGGUACGUGCUAACCGCGGUGGACGGCGGCCAGCCUCCCCGGACUGGCACCGCGCUGCUGGUGGUCAAAGUGUUGGACUCCAAUGACAACGUUCCCGUGUUUGAGCAGCCCGUGUACACGGUGAGCCUCGCGGAGAACGCACCGGUGGGCACGCUGGUCAUACAGCUAAACGCCACCGACCUGGAUGAGGGACUUAACGGGGAAAUACUGUAUUCUUUCAGUAACCACAUCUCCAGCCGCGUAAAGGAGCUGUUCAGCAUAGAUCCGCGCACCGGGCGCAUCGAGGUGCGCGGCGAGGUGGACUUCGAGGAGAGCAGCUUGUAUCAAAUCUUCGUCCAGGCGAAGGAUCUCGGGCCAAACGCCGUCCCAGCUCACUGUAAAGUGCUGGUCAAAGUGGCCGACGCGAACGACAACGCACCGGAAAUCACCUUCAGCACCGUCACGGAGUCGGUGAGUGAAAAAGCGGCUCCCGGUACUGUUAUCGCCUUGUUGAGCGUGACGGACCGGGACGCGGAGGAGAACGGCCAGAUCCACGUGGAAAUCCUCGGUGAUGUCCCGUUUAAGUUAAAAUCCUCCUUCAGGAAUUAUUUCACUAUCGUGACAGACGGUCUCCUGAACCGCGAGCAGGCGGGCUUCUACUCCGUCACUGUGGUCGCGCGGGAUAAAGGUACCCCCUCACUGGCCACCAGUAAGUCCAUCCGAGUCCAGGUGUCGGAUGAGAACGACAAUGCGCCCACGUUUACGCAAUCCAUAUAUGAUGUUUAUGUGACAGAGAACAACGUGCCAGGCGCGUACAUCCACGCCGUGACCGCGCUGGACCCAGACAUUGGCCAGAACGCGCUGAUCAGCUACUCCAUUUUAGAAUGUGACAUUCAGGGCAUGUCAAUCAAAACUUAUGUGUCAAUCAACGAGGAAACAGGAUAUCUUUAUGCACUCAGGUCCUUUGAUUACGAGCAGCUGAAGGAUUUCACCUUCAUGGUCCAGGCCAAAGACUCAGGUUCUCCAGAACUCUCCUCUAACGCCACCGUUAAAGUCAUUAUUGUGGACCAGAAUGACAACUCCCCCCUCGUGCUCGCACCUCUGGGAAACAACGGUACAGCCAAGGAGCCCCUCCCCCGCUCAGCUGAACCGGGCUACCUGGUGACCCGUGUGGUUGCCAUGGAUGCAGAUGAUGGUGAAAAUGCUCGCUUGUCCUACAGCAUCCAGAGGGGGAACGAGAACGGGAUGUUCAGGAUGGACUGGAGGACGGGUGAGCUUAGGACAGCCAGACGGGUGUCAGCAAAGCGAGACCCCCACCAGAAAUACGACCUCCUGAUUGAGGUGAGAGACCAUGGCCAGCCGCCGCUGUCCUCCAGUGCCAGCGUGCUGGUGAUGCUGGUGGACAGUGUGGCAGAGGGCCGGGGUGGAGGGGUUAAAACGGGCUCUGGCAAGGCCAAAGAGAGCACCUUGGACUUCACCCUCAUCCUCAUCAUUGCCCUCGGCUCCAUCUCCUUCAUCUUCCUGCUAGUCAUGAUCAUUCUGGCUGUGCGCUGCCAGAAGGACAAGAAGCUGAACAUUUACACCUGCCUGAGCAGCGACUGCUGCCUCGGCUGCAGCUCCUGCUGCUCUCGGCAGGGCCGAUCCCGCAGGAAAAAGCUCAGCAAGUCGGAUAUCAUGCUGGUGCAGAGCACCGUCAAUGUUAGCGGGGGCGGCACAGCUCAGGUCCCUGUGGAGGAGUCUGGGAGCUUCAGCUCCCUCCACCAAAACAAGAACUAUUGUUAUCAGGUAUGUCUGACUCCAGAGUCCGCUAAAACUGACCUCAUGUUCCUAAAGCCAUGUAGUCCAUCUAGGAGCACAGACACCGACCACAACCUGUGUGGGGCCAUAGUGUCAGGGUACACAGACCAGCAGCCUGACAUCAUAUCAAACGGCAGCAUUUUAUCAAAUGAGACCAAACACCAGCGAAGCGAACUCAGCUACCUGGUCGACAGGCCGAGACGUGUCAACAGUUCGGCCUUUCAGGAAGCAGAUCUGGUCAGCUCCAAAGACAGCGGGCACGGAGACAGCGAGCAAGGAGACAGUGACCACGACGCCACUAACCGAGGCCACUCCUCUGCUGCUGACCUGUUCUCUAACUGCACGGAGGAGUGUAAGGCCCUGGGUCACUCCGAUCGCUGCUGGAUGCCCAGCUUUGUGCCCUCUGAAGGCCGCCAAGGUCUAGAUUACCGCAGCAACCUCCACGUGCCCGGCAUGGAUUCAGUCCCAGACACAGAGGUAUUUGAAACCCCAGAACAAACAGCUGAUGGGUCAUUCUCCACCUUUGGUAAAGAGACGCCUCUCAGCCACCAUCACCUCCACCUCCACCACCAAAAUCACUACCACUGUCUCCAAAACCAUCAGCUCAGCCACAACUACUGAGAGGAAAGAGUUGGAAGCAUUUCUGCCUAGCUCACGAGCAGCUUACCACCCAGCUUAUUUAACGGGGAAAAGGGUUUGCUAGCUCCUUCCACGUGGACAUCCCGGAGACUGCGUGAUUUUGCACAAUCUCUUCCCGACAACCGGCUAUAAAAAUGUAAGAAGUUUCCAACAUGUCCCACCCUCCUUCGCCUCAUCCUUAAAACUGAAAUCACACAACAAAGAAGAACAGAACUCUGGUAUUCCCUCCUGUCGGGUUUUGGAAGUGCUAACGGGAUUGUGAGGAUUAGGUGACAUUUAGAAAGGGAGGAGGGAGUGAUCUGGAUCCAGGAUGGGCAGUUUUACUGGGACAACACAUUUUUCUCAGCAGGACUGAGAAAGUGAGGGAGGAGGAAAGAUGGCGGCCCAUUGUUUUCCAGUCUGUGUGCCUGUUUACCGCACCGAUGUGUACAUCUGUGAGGAAGAUCCACCCGGAUGAGGAUCCACCCGGAUCCAGACACAAGCAGCCCUUUAGGCAUCGGAACUCGGAGUGAGAUGCCAAAUUGUACAGGAGAGACUUUGUGCAUUUCAUAAUGCAAUACCACAGUUUUAGAGUUUUCUAUUCUGUUUGUGAGGUCAAGUGUCUCUGAACUUUGUAAGAAAAAAAGAUUGUGUCCAACGACAUUUUUUAAAUCUUUUUCUUUCUAUUUUCGGUUCUUUUUAGCUCUGGGUUUGGUUUGUUCACCACUUCGAGGGCUUGGACAGUGUUUGGU